rnacentral:rRNA from 1 species
CCGUAGGUGAACCUGCGGACCGUUCAUUCACACGAAUAUCAUUCGACACCAGCACCUAACUGUGAGGUACGUCUCGGUGAUUAGUUCGCUGAUGCGUAGCUCGGGGUUGUUGUCGGUGCAGAUCUCUGAAUCCGCAUUGGGCUUCGACCAUCUGUUAACCCACCACGUCCUUUUUUUCAACUAAAAUCCGAAAAUUCCAUUACAAAUUUUAGCGAUGGAUGCCUCGGCUCGAGAAACGAUGAAGGACGCAGCAAAAUGCGAUAAGCGCUGUGAAUGGCAGAAUUCCGCGAAUCAAGAGAAUGCUGAACGCAUACUGCACUUUUAGGUUACUCCUGAAAGUAGCUUUGUUUCAGGGCGUUUAAACUAUAAUGCAUUCAAGCAUGCAACACCUCGGUGCUGUUGUUUGUCUAGCGUUCUUGUGCGUUAGCGCUGCUUCGGCCGUUGACGCAUUAAAUUCAGUAGUUAUUCUCAACUAUUCUUAAGCUUUCGCUUAGUGACGAUUACCUCGAUACUAGCGGCAAGUUUGAGUGAGACUCUACUCUAGCACGCAAAAUCGAUUCACUUCGAUUUUUCUUAACGCAUGAAAUCAAGGCAGGCUACCCGCUGAAUUUAAGCAUAUCAAUA